UCCUACGGGAGGCAGCAGUAGGGAAUCUUCCGCAAUGGACGAAAGUCUGACGGAGCAACGCCGCGUGAGUGAUGAAGGCUUUCGGGUCGUAAAACUCUGUUGUUAGGGAAGAACAAGUGCUAGUUGAAUAAGCUGGCACCUUGACGGUACUUAACCAGAAAGCCACGGCUAACUACGUGCCAGCAGCCGCGGUAAUACGUAGGUGGCAAGCGUUAUCCGGAAUUAUUGGGCGUAAAGCGCGCGCAGGUGGUUUCUUAAGUCUGAUGUGAAAGCCCACGGCUCAACCGUGGAGGGUCAUUGGAAACUGGGAGACUUGAGUGCAGAAGAGGAAAGUGGAAUUCCAUGUGUAGCGGUGAAAUGCGUAGAGAUAUGGAGGAACACCAGUGGCGAAGGCGACUUUCUGGUCUGUAACUGACACUGAGGCGCGAAAGCGUGGGGAGCAAACAGGAUUAGAUACCCUGGUAGUCCACGCCGUAAACGAUGAGUGCUAAGUGUUAGAGGGUUUCCGCCCUUUAGUGCUGAAGUUAACGCAUUAAGCACUCCGCCUGGGGAGUACGGCCGCAAGGCUGAAACUCAAAUGAAUU
rnacentral:rRNA from 1 species